AACACUGUUAACCUGCGGUACCUGCGGAAGGAUCAUUGCUGGAACGCGCUUCGGCGCACCCAGAAACCCUUUGUGAACUUAUACCUAUUUGUUGCCUCGGCGUAGGCCGGCCUCUUCACUGAGGCCCCCUGGAAACAGGGAGCAGCCCGCCGGCGGCCAACUAAACUCUUGUUUCUGUAGUGAAUCUCUGAGUAAAAACAUAAAUGAAUCAAAACUUUUAGCAACGGAUCUCAGAUCGGA
rnacentral:misc_RNA from 1 species